GCAAUCAGCGAGACUCCAUGGGCGUAGGACCCUCCCAGCCAGGUGCAGGAUAUAAUCUCGUGGUGCGACAUUGUUUAAGCUGGUCGGAAAAGCGCAGUAUUCGGGUGGGAUUGACCUGAUUUUCCAGGUUCUGGUGGACAAUUUCCAGUCUGGAGUCUGCAUUUGGAGAGAUUCUACAGCACAUGCAUGAAUGAGGAGGAGGUGGUGUCCCAAGGGCAUUUAUAUCUUUGCUCUGUAUUUGGAGGAGAAUGGAGAGUUCCAAAUGAUCAGAGCUUGCACAUUACUAGAUCCCCUUUCUAGGGAAAAUGCUGCGAUCAAUUGAAGUUGUCAUCCUCAUGAAGCUCAUACUGUUUUGCCUGAAAAAUAAAUGUAAAUGCACAUUCUUGGUCUUAAAAUACAUAGAAACAAUACUUUUUUCCCUGCUACUAGCUUUAAUGGAGUAUCUGCUGAGGAGACUGGAAUGAGGAAGGAAUUCAUUAAGUCUGAUUGUCUCUGAACAGCAAAGUUCCUGAGUGGGAAGCCAAAAAUUCAAUGACAAGUACCUCAAUAAAAGAU
rnacentral:lncRNA from 1 species